AGAGAAGAGAGAGAGAAAGUUACAGUGAUAAGAUUGGAGAGAAGAGGAGUCCAUUUGGAAAGAAAGAAAGCAAUGGAACUGACAGCGAGGGGAGAGAGAAGAUAUAGAAGAAAAAGCGCGGGCAAAAUCGAGAAGAUUGAAAAGAAAGAAGGCAGAGGGCUCGGUGGUUGUCGGUGAGAGUGUAAGUAGAGAGAGAGCGCUUCGAAAUGUUCGCCUUUGUCCUCAGUUUCGCUCUCUCUCAGCUUUAAAGCUCAUCUACAGUAAAUCAUAAUUUAAAACUUGCG
rnacentral:lncRNA from 1 species